GCCAACGGCCAUACCAUGUUGAACACACCGGUUCUCGUCCGAUCACCGAAGUUAAGCAACGUAAGGCGUGGUUAGUACUUGGAUGGGUGACCGCCUGGGAAAACCGCGUGCUGUUGACACUU
rnacentral:rRNA from 1 species